AGCCCUUUGCAGGACGUGCAACAGGGUUGUGGCUCGUGUGUUCGGUCUCUGCCUGCUGAAACCCCUUAUGGGAGGUGGAGCAUGCAGACGGACGGGUGCAGGAGCCAGGGUGCAAAAGCUGGGGCGCUGGGCUUCCAGCCCCACGGCAGUGUCCAGGGGCAGGAUCCCGUGAUUCCCGGAGCCCAAAUGGGCGUGUGUUACAGUGUGCUCUUUUAGCCUUACCAUCAGCUGACGGCUUAAGUGUUAACCAGCUCAAUAGACCCUCUGCCUUUUUGCAAGCGCAGAGGGUCAGUGUGACAGUUUCUGUAUCUCAGCUCUUGUCUCACCUCCCAGAAGAAUCAGGUCACACAUGGACUUGAAGGAUGACGGGCCUGUCUAAUUGCAGGAAAACAAACUCAGGGCUCCCACUGAUUCUACAUUACGAACACCAGAGACUGGGUAAUUAAUAAAAAGAAGAAAUUGAUCUGGCCUACAGUUCUGGAGCCUUGGAAGUCCGAGAUCAAGGAGCUGCAUCUGAUAAAUACCUGGAGUGGGAUUGCUAGAUCACAUGGAAAACACAGAUCCUGGUGCCGAACAUGAGGACAGGGCAGGCCGAAGGAGAAAGUGGAAGGAGGGGAGCUUCUCUCUCAGCCUCAUCCUUCUGGGCCUGGAUGCUGGAGAGUCAUGAGGUGCUUCAGAGUACUCUGGGUGAGGAGGGAAAGAUGGUGCCCACCACAUGGAGGCCAGCCUAGGUCUUGUAUGAAACCUGUGAGCCAGCCUCACUGGUUCCAGAGCGAUACUCAGAGCUGUUCUCAGAUACCAGACUGGAAUAAACGAGAGACAUCUGGAGAAAGGAGACCUCUUCCUAUCCCAACAGGACUGUGUUUCAC
rnacentral:lncRNA from 1 species